CUCCAUGCCAAAUAACCAGAGUAUUGCUUAGCUACUGCUAACUCAAAAAUAUACUGCUAUACCUCACCCGGAGCACCGGCACUGAACCAUCAGUUCUCUCCCUGGAGGGAUUUGAUGUCUGCAAAGCCCAACGCCAAGGGUGCACUCAAUCCCACCAUUGGUGUCAUUGAUGAAGAUGUUAAAGAGCACCGGUCCAAGUAAUGACCCUUGUGGGACACCACUUGUCACCAAUCUCCGUCUGGACAUUGAGCCAUUGGCCACCACUCUCUGGUUACGAUCUCAUGACCAGUUUCUCAUCCAUCAAAGAGUUUACCCAUCAAAUCCAUAUAUUUCCAAUUAGGAGAGAAGGAUGUUGUGUGUGACCAUGUCAAAGACCCUACCGAAUCCAGGUAUGUUACACUGGUGGCUCUUCCCUUGUCCACUGACACAGUGAUAUCAUCAUAAAAAGCAACAGGGCUGAUCAGGCAGGACCUGAGCCGGUGAAGCCAUGCUGGUUAUCCCAUAUCACCUCCCUGUUUUCCAUGUACCUUAGCAUAGCUUCCAGGAGGAUUUGCACCAUGCUUUUCCCUGGCACAGAGGCGAGGCUAACAGUCAGCAGCUCUCUGAG
rnacentral:lncRNA from 1 species